AUUGAACGCUGGCGGCAGGCCUAACACAUGCAAGUCGAGCGAGUGGCGGACGGGUGAGUAAUGCUUGGGAAUCUAGCUCAUGGAGGGGGAUAACUACGGGAAACUGUAGCUAAUACCGCGUACCAUAGGAUGAGCCCAAGUGGGGUUAGGUAGUUGGUGAGGUAAAGGCUAACCAGGCCGACGAUCUCUAGCUGGUCUGAGAGGAUGACCAGCCAAACUGGGACUGAGACACGGCCCAUACGCCUACGGGAGGCAGCAGUGGGGAAUAGUGCGCAAUGGGGGCAACCCUGACGCAACCGUGCCGCGUGUGUGAAGAAGGCCUUGGGGUUGUAAAGUACUUUCAGCGGGGAGGCGUUACCCGCAGAAGAAGCACCGGCUAACUCCGUGCCAGCAGCCGCGGUAAUAC
rnacentral:rRNA from 1 species